GUGCUCGCUUCAGCAGCACGUAUAGUAAAUUGGAAUGAUACAGAGAAGAUUAGCAUGGCCCCUGUGCAAGAAUGAGACACAAAUUUGUGAAGCAUUCUAUAUAUUC
rnacentral:snRNA from 1 species